GAUGAACGCUAGCGGCAGGCUUAAUACAUGCAAGUCGAGGGACAGCACAGGUAGCAAUACUGGGUGGUAACCGGCAAACGGGUGCGGAACACGUACACAACCUUCCUUUAAGUGGGGGAUAGCCCAGAGAAAUUUGGAUUAAUACCCCGUAAUAUAGUUGAAUGGCAUCAUUUGAUUAUUAUAGCUACGGCGCUUAAUGAUGGGUGUGCGGCUGAUUAGAUAGUUGGCGGGGUAACGGCCCACCAAGUCUACGAUCAGUAGCUGAUGUGUGAGCAUGAUCAGCCACACGGGGACUGAGACACGGGCCCGACUCCUACGGGAGGCAGCAGUAAGGAAUAUUGGUCAAUGGACGCAAGUCUGAACCAGCCAUGCCGCGUGAAGGAUUAAGGUCCUCUGGAUUGUAAACUUCUUUUAUUUGGGACGAAAAAGGGCCUUUCUAGGUCAACUGACGGUACCGGAUGAAUAAGCACCGGCUAACUCCGUGCCAGCCGCCGCCGUAACAC
rnacentral:rRNA from 1 species